AACGAACGCUGGCGGCGCGCCUAAUACAUGCAAGUCGAGCGAGAAGACGUAGCAAUACGUUUGUAAAGCGGCGAACGGGUGAGGAAUACAUGGGUAACCUACCCUCGAGUCGGGGAAUAACUAGCCGAAAGGUUAGCUAAUACCGCGUACGCUCCUUGGACUUCGGUUCAGGGAGGAAAGCGAUACCGUGGGUAUCGCGCUCAUGGACGGGCUCAUGUCCUAUCAGCUUGUUGGUGAGGAACGGCUCACCAAGGCUUCGACGGGUAGCUGGUCUGAGAGGACGAUCAGCCACACUGGCACUGCGAC
rnacentral:rRNA from 1 species